rnacentral:rRNA from 1 species
UAGGGAAUCUUCGGCAAUGGGGGCAACCCUGACCGAGCAACGCCGCGUGAGUGAAGAAGGUCUUCGGAUCGUAAAACUCUGUUGUUAGAGAAGAACACGAGUGAGAGUAACUGUUCAUUCGAUGACGGUAUCUAACCAGCAAGUCACGGCUAACUACGUGCUAG